rnacentral:rRNA from 1 species
UACGUAGGGGGCGAGCGUUGUCCGGAGUACUGGGCGUAAAGCGCACGCAGGCGGUCUGCUAAGUUUGGAGUGACAGUUGGUGGCUUAACUGCCAAAGUGCUUCGAAAACUGACAGACUUGAGGGCUUCAGAGGGACACGGAAUUCCGGGUGGAGUGGUGAAAUGCGUAGAGAUCCGGAGGAACACCAGUGGCGAAGGCGGUUGCCUGGAGCUUUGCUGACGCUGAUGCGCGAAAGCGUGGGGAGCGAUCCGG